CCUACGGGGGGCUGCAGUGGGGAAUAUUGGACAAUGGGGGCAACCCUGAUCCAGCCAUGCCGCGUGUGUGAAGAAGGCCCUCGGGUUGUAAAGCACUUUCAGUGAGGAAGAACGCCUGGUGGUUAAUACCCAUCAGGAAAGACAUCACUCACAGAAGAAGCACCGGCUAACUCCGUGCCAGCAGCCGCGGUAAUACGGAGGGUGCGAGCGUUAAUCGGAAUUACUGGGCGUAAAGCGCGCGUAGGUGGCUUGAUAAGCCGGUUGUGAAAGCCCCGGGCUCAACCUGGGAACGGCAUCCGGAACUGUCAAGCUAGAGUGCAGGAGAGGAAGGUAGAAUUCCCGGUGUAGCGGUGAAAUGCGUAGAGAUCGGGAGGAAUGCCAGUGGCGAAGGCGGCCUUCUGGACUGACACUGACACUGAGGUGCGAAAGCGUGGGUAGCAAACAGGAUUAGAUACACUUGUAGUC
rnacentral:rRNA from 1 species